CUUCGGAAUCUUGAGAGCGGCGUACGGGUGCGGAACACGUGUGCAACCUGCCUUUAUCAGGGAGAUAGCCUUUCGAAAGGAAGAUUAAUACCCCAUAAUAUAUUAAGUGGCAUCACUUGAUAUUGAAAACUACGGUGGAUAGAGAUGGGCACGCGCAAGAUUAGAUAGUUGGUGAGGUAACGGCUCACCAAGUCUACGAUCUUUAGGGGGCCUGAGAGGGUGAUCCCCCACACUGGUACUGAGACACGGACCAGACUCCUACGGGAGGCAGCAGUGAGGAAUAUUGGACAAUGGGUGAAAGCCUGAUCCAGCCAUCCCGCGUGAAGGACGACGGCCCUAUGGGUUGUAAACUUCUUUUGUAUAGGGAUAAACCUAGAUACGUGUAUCUAGCUGAAGGUACUAUACGAAUAAGCACCGGCUAACUCCGUGCCAGCAGCCGCGGUAAUACGGAGGGUGCAAGCGUUAUCCGGAUUUAUUGGGUUUAAAGGGUCCGUAGGCGGAUCUGUAAGUCAGUGGUGAAAUCUCACAGCUUAACUGUGAAACUGCCAUUGAUACUGCAGGUCUUGAGUGUUGUUGAAGUAGCUGGAAUAAGUAGUGUAGCGGUGAAAUGCAUAGAUAUUACUUAGAACACCAAUUGCGAAGGCAGGUUACUAAGCAACAACUGACGCUGAUGGACGAAAGCGUGGGGAGCGAACAGGAUUAGAUACCCUGGUAGUCCACGCCGUAACGAUGCUAACUCGUUUUUGGAUUUUCGGAUUCAGAGACUAAGCGAAAGUGAUAAGUUAGCCACCUGGGGAGUACGUUCGCAAGAAUGAAACUCAAAGGAAUUGACGGGGGCCCGCACAAGCGGUGGAUUAUGUGGUUUAAUUCGAUGAUACGCGAGGAACCUUACCAAGGCUUAAAUGGGAAAUGACAGGUUUAGAAAUAGACUUUUCUUCGGACAUUUUUCAAGGUGCUGCAUGUUGUCGUCAGCUCGUGCCGUGAGGUGUUAGGUUAAGUCCUGCAACGAGCGCAACCCCUGUCACUAGUUGCCAUCAUUAAGUUGGGGACUCUAGUGAGACUGCCUACGCAAGUAGAGAGGAAGGUGGGGAUGACGUCAAAUCAUCACGGCCCUUACGCCUUGGGCCACACACGUAAUACAAUGGCCAGUACAGAGGGCAGCUACACAGCGAUGUGAUGCAAAUCUCGAAAGCUGGUCUCAGUUCGGAUUGGAGUCUGCAACUCGACUCUAUGAAGCUGGAAUCGCUAGUAAUCGCGCAUCAGCCAUGGCGCGGUGAAUACGUUCCCGGGCCUUGUACAC
rnacentral:rRNA from 1 species